AUUUCACCGGAAAACACAGUAGCUGUAGCUGCACAUAGACGCUUCCUCUUUCUGUUUCCCCCUCAUCCCCCUCCCUAGACCUCUCUGGGCUUUGACGUCAUGUGUGCUCCUUUCGGUUGCCAUAGCAACCCCAUUCCCCAAGCCCUCUGUCCGUCUCCUCUGGGGCUUGAGUGAGUUUAAGAUUGGGUUUUCUUGGAAAUCACCUGUCCAUCGUUAAUUUUAAACAAUCUCCAUAUCUCCAAAGAAUCUCUUCCAUGUUAGUCUGGAAUGUGGUUAAUGAAAAACAAGUAGGGAGGAUUUCUGGGGCAAACACUGCCGGAUCAGGAUCGUAGUUCUCAGGCACGGAAUGGCUAGUGUGAGAAACACCAACAGCAGGCCCAUCUCAGAUCUUCACUAUGGCAACUUAUGCAAGAAACUGUUGAAUUAGACCCGUUUCCUAUAGAUGAGAAACCAUACAAGCUGUG
rnacentral:lncRNA from 1 species